rnacentral:rRNA from 1 species
GACGAACGCUGGCGACGCGCUUAACACAUGCAAGUCGAACGGAAAGGCCUGCUUUCCCUUGUGGAUUGCGGGUACUCGAGUGGCGAACGGGUGAGUAACACGUGAGUGAUCUGCCCCCAACUUGGGUAUAAGCCUGGGAAACUGGGUCUAAUUCCCGAUAGGACUGCAGGGUGGUGCCUGUGGUGGAAAACGAUUUUCUAGUGGUUGGGGAUGAGCUCGCGGCCUAUCAGCUUGUUGGUGGGGUAAUGGCCUACCAAGGCGGCGACGGGUAGCCGGCCUGGGAGGGGGGACGGCGACAUUGGGACUGGGACACGGCCCAGACGGCAACGGGAGGCAGCAGUGGGGAAUAAUGCACAAUGGGCGGAAGCCUGAAGCAGCGAGGCCGCGUGGGGGAUGACGGGCUUGGGGUGGUAAGCUGCUUGCGACCGCGAGGAAGCCACCUGGUUGGAAGGGUGGUGACGGUAGUGGUAGAAGAAGCACCGGCUAACUACGUG